GAUGAACGCUGGCGGCGUGCUUAACACAUGCAAGUCGAACGGAAAGGCUCCUGCUUGCAGGGGUACUCGAGUGGCGAACGGGUGAGUAACACGUGGGUGAUCUGCCCUGCACUUCGGGAUAAGCCUGGGAAACUGGGUCUAAUACCGGAUAGGACCACAUUUUGGAUGGUGUGGUGGAAAGUUUUUCGGUGUGGGAUGAGCUCGCGGCCUAUCAGCUUGUUGGUGGGGUAAUGGCCUACCAAGGCGUCGACGGGUAGCCGGCCUGAGAGGGUGUACGGCCACAUUGGGACUGAGAUACGGCCCAGACUCCUACGGUAGGCAGCAGUGGGGAAUAUUGCACAAUGGGCGCAAGCCUGAUGCAGCGACGCCGCGUGGGGGAUGACGGCCUUCGGGUUGUAAACUCCUUUCGCUAGGGACGAAGCGCAAGUGACGGUACCUGGAGAAGAAGCACCGGCUAACUACGUG
rnacentral:rRNA from 1 species